AUGAUGUUGGUUGGUAUGCCGAUUUGUUCUAAUUUUAGAGAUUUUACUGGAAAAAAAGAUUGGGCAAGCCGUAGCGGUAUCGAAGCUGAUGGAAGUCGAGAUGAAUGGUGCAACUACAAAGGACUGUGUUAAGAUUGUAUGUAUUUCUCUCGAUUGCAGUGAUGUCUCUGCUUGAUUGUAAAGAAGGAGAAUGAGCAUAUAAUCAAAGUUUCAAGCUUUAAAAAAAGAAUAUGUAUAAGUGACAUAGAUACGUUGAGAGUGAUUAGCAAGGUAAUUGAAGGAGCCAGAAGCGACCACAUAGGAAAUUUUGAGUGUCUGCCAAGUACUAUUCAAUAGCACUACAAGAGGAAGAGAGGAGAUCGCUUCAAUGCGCUCCCCAACGAAUGAGGCUACGUAUAUAAACAAAGGUUCCAUGCUCUGACGAUUUCAAUUUGGCAUUUUAUAAAUAAAAAAAUGCUUGGCCUAUUAUGUAGGAGGCUUGCUAGGCUCUCAAUCACUUUCAUCAAACUAUUAGACAAUUUCUUAUGUCAUAUAUCAAUUUUAUUUGUUCAAUUCACUUUUGGAAAAUGAGGCAAAUCUGCAGAUCAAAAGACAAUUCACGAGUGGCUUACGGUAACUUCUUCUAGGAAUGCAAAAUGGUGGUGUUCGACAUUUCACAAUAUUACAGCUAUGGUUGGAACCGGUGUCCUCAAGCUUCCUUAUGCUAUGUCUCACCUUGGAUGUUACUCUGCAAUUGGCUGAGGGGAUUCAAUUAAGCGUGGAGCUAGAUGUGGACUAUAGCUACUCCGCUAAAAUCAAUUUGGGAGUCGUUUUCGACUUUUUCACAUUGAGAGAUGUGGCUUUUGCUUACGGUGGUUAUAAUGUGGUGUAGGAGAUUCAAGCUACAAUUCUUUCAAUGACAGUAGCCUUCCAAAGGACCCAUGUGGAGGGGGUGUCGUAGUUGUUUGCUCACAAGUUUAAGGUAGUCAGAAUGUUGCUUGACU